GCUUGUUUUAGCAAUCCAUAUACUAAAAUUGGAAUAAUACAGACACUAGCAUGGCCCCUAUGCAAAGAUGACACACGAAUUUGUGAAGCAUUCCAUAUUUUU